rnacentral:rRNA from 1 species
UACGUAGGGUGCAAGCGUUAAUCGGAAUUACUGGGCGUAAAGCGUGCGCAGGCGGGUUUGUAAGUUUGUCGUGAAAUCCCCGGGCUUAACCUGGGAAUUGCGAUGAAGACUGCAAGGCUAGAAUCUGGCAGAGGGGGGUAGAAUUCCACGUGUAGCAGUGAAAUGCGUAGAGAUGUGGAGGAACACCGAUGGCGAAGGCAGCCCCCUGGGUCAAGAUUGACGCUCAUGCACGAAAGCGUGGGUAGCAAACAGG